AAACUUACCUGGCUGGGGGUCUCUCGUGAUCACUAAGACGGGAACCCUACGGUGAGGCCUGUCCAUUGCACUUUCGGACAUGCUGACCUGUAUGGCAGUAACGAGUAGUUAUUGGCCAACAGCUACAUUUUUGCGUGAGGGGUUGCGUUCGCGCAACCCUGA
rnacentral:snRNA from 1 species